rnacentral:rRNA from 1 species
UGGGGAAUUUUCCGCAAUGGGCGAAAGCCUGACGGAGCGACGCCGCGUGGAGGAUGAAGGAUUUCGGUCUGUAAACUCCUGUCAGGGGGGACGAAUCAAUGACGGUACCCCCAAAGGAAGCAUCGGCUAACUACGUGCCAGCAGCCGCGGUAAGACGUAGGAUGCGAGCGUUGUUCGGAAUUAUUGGGCGUAAAGCGUGCGUAGGCGGUCAUUCAAGUCUGGUGUUAAAGCUAGGAGCUCAACUCCUGUGAUGCACUGGAAACUGGAUAACUUGAGCGCGGUAGGGGAAGGUGGAAUUCCGAGUGUAGCGGUGAAAUGCGUAGAUAUUCGGAAGAACACCGGUGGCGAAGGCGACCUUCUGGGCCGCUGCUGACGCUGAGGCACGAAAGCGUGGGGAGCAAACGG